UUGUAUUCAAAUAUGCAUAUUACACAAAGAUGCAUUACACAUAUUGCAAGAGACAUUCACACAUAUUUUUGGUUGGUGAUUUAGCCUGAAUUUGCUAACAAUGGCAUGGUGUCUACUUUGAUUUUGUUUAGCUGGAAUAAUCAAGUAUUAGUCCAUUCUUUCACUGCUAUUAAAUACCUGAGACUGGGUAGUUUAUAGGGAAAAGAAGAUUAAUUGGCUGAAGGUUCUGCAGACUGUAUGAGAAGCAUAGUGGCUUCUGAGAAAACCUCAGGAAAGUUAGAAUCAUGGUGGUGUAGGAGGACUAGCCACAGACAAAACCACUCAGACACCGGGUUAAGAAGGAAGUGGCUUUAUUUGGCCAGGAGCAUCAGCAGACUUGCAUGUCAAGAACUGAGCUCUCUGAAGAAAGAGUUCCUGGCCCUUUUAAGAACUUACAACUCUAAGGGGUUCACGUGAAAGGGUUGUGAUAGAUUGACAUUCAGAGAUAGCAUAUGUGAUUAGAGGGGGGCUAAUCUUUAACCUCUCUCUUCAUUCCCCCAUUUGAGAACCUUACUCACUAGUGGGAGGUCUCACUCUCAUCUUCACUACCCAGGUCUUUCUGCAAGACAGAUCGACAGUGAUUCAUGUAAUACACUUGUGUAUUACAAGACAUUCAUGUAAUACAUUUGUGCUGAAGUUUUCUGAUGAACCAAGGUAGUAACAAAACUUCUUAGAAGUUGGAGAAAUAUGGGUAACAAACAAAGGAGCAAUAGGAGGGUUGCAGCUGGAGAUCUGGGGAGGAGCUGGUGUUUUUUAGUUUGAGGGUCAUGCAGCUAUAGACCCUGGGAGGAGCAGGAGUUUCUUUAGUUUGAGGGUUGGGCAGCUGCAGAACCCGGGAGAAUCUGAUGUUCUGGUUUGAGGGUCCUGCAGCUGGAGACCCAGAGAGCAGCUGGUGUUUCUUUAGUUUGAUGGCCGUGCAGCUGUAGAACCCAGGGGGAGCUGGUAUUUUUCUAGUAUGAGUGUCCUGCAGCUGGAGACCUGGAGAAGAGCUGAUGUUCUAGUUUGAGGGUCGUGCCGCUGAAGACUCAGGGAGAAGCUGAUGUUCUCGUUUGAGGAUACUGCAGCUGGAGACCUGGAGAGGAGCUGAUGUUAUUCUAGUUUGAGGAUCAUGGAGCUUGAGAUCCACAGAGGAGCAGGUAUUGUUCUAGAUUGAGGUUCAUGUAGCUGAAGACCUGGGGAGCAGCGGGUGUUUUUUAGUUUGAGGGUCAUGCAGCUGUAGAACCCGGGAGGAGCUGGUGUUUUUCUAGUAUGAGUGUCCUGCAGCUGGAGACCUGGAGAGGAGCUGAUGUUGUUCUAGUUUGAGGGUUGUGCAGCUGAAGACUUGGAGGGGAGCUGAUGUUGUUCUUGUUGAGGGUCUUUCAGCUGGAGACCCAGAGAGGAGCUGAUGUGGUUCUAGUUUAAGGGUCAUGGAGCUGGAGACCCAGAGAGGAGCUGGUGUUGUUCUGAUUUGAGGUUCAUGCACUUAAGACCCGGGGAUGAGCUGAUGUUGUUCUGGUUUGAGGUUCAUGCACCUGGAGACCUGAGGAGGAGCGGUUGUUUUUUAGUUUGAGGGUCGUGCAACAGUAGAACCUGGGAGGAGCUUGUGUUUUUCUAGUAUGAGUGUCCAGCAGCUAGAGACCCAGAGAGGAGCCGAUGUUCUAGGUUGAGGGUGGUGCAGCUGAAGACUCGGGAAGGAGCUAAUGUUCUAGUUUGAGGGCCGUGAUCUGGGGACUUGGAGAGGAGCUGAUGUUGUUCUAGUUUGAGGGUCAGGCAACUGAAGACCCGGGGAGGAGCUGAUGUUGUUCUAGUUUGAGGUUCAUGCAGCUGGAGACCUGGGGAGCAGCGGGUGUUUUUUAGUUUGAGGGUCAUGCAGCUGUAGAACCCGGGAGGAGCUGGCGUUUUUCUAAUAUGAGUAUCCUGCAGCUGGAGACCAGGAGAGUUGCUGAUGUUCUAGUCUGAAGGUCGUGCAGCUGAAGACGGGGGAGGGUUCUAGUUUGAGUGCCCUGCAGCUGAAGACUCGGGAAGGAGCUGAUGUUGUCCUUGUUUUACGAUCUUUCAGCUGGAGACUCAAAGAGGAGCUGAUGUUGUUCUAAUUUGAGUGUAAUGGAGCUGGAGACCCGGGGUGGAGCUGAUGUUGUUCUAGUUUGAGUGUUGUGCAGCUGGAGAUCCAAGAAGGAGGUGGUCUUGUGGUUCAAAUCUGAGGGUCCUGGAGCUGGAAUCUAUGGGAGGAGUCAAUGCUGCCACUGAUGUCUUAGAUUGUGCAGCAGAAGACCCACAGAGGAGCCGGUGUUGGUGUUCUAGUGUGAGGGUGUGGAUCUGGAGAUCCAUGGGGGAGUGACGUUCUUCUAGUUUUUGGGUUGUGGUGCUGGAGACCCAGGGAGGAGCUCAUGGUGUUCUAGUUGAGGGUCGUGGUGCUGGAGACCCAGGGAGGAGUCGAUCCUUCUGUUGUUUAAGUCUGAAGGUCAUCGAGCUGGAGAUCCGGGGAAGAGCUGGUGCUGCGGUUCAAGUCUGAGGGUCCUGGAGCUUGAGACCCCAGGAGGAGAUGGUGCUGCCACGAAUGUCUUAGGUUGUAAAGCUGGAGACCUGCGAAGGAGCCGGUGUUGCUGUUUUAGUGUGAGGUUUGUGGAGCUGGAGUCCCAGGGGGAAAAUGGUGUUUUUCUGGCUUAAGGGUCAUGCAGCUGACCCUCAGAUGACCUCAAACUAUAACAACACUGCUCCACCCUGGAUCUCCAGCUCCAAAAUCCUCACAAUAGAAAAACAUCUGCUCCUCCCUGAGUGUCCAGCUCCACGAUGCUCAAACUAGAUUAAAAUCAGCUCCUUCCCAGGUGUCCAGCUGCAUGACCCUCAAACUAGAAACACCCGGGGAGGUUUUAUUAGUUUGCUGCUGUUUUUCUAGAUUGAGGGUCAUGCAGCUGGAGACGUGGGGAGGAGCUGAUGUUGUUCGAGUUUGAGGGUCAUGGAGCUUGGAGACCCAGGCAGGAGCUGGUGUUUUUCUAGUUUGAGGGUUGUGCAGCUGGAGACCCAGGGAGAAGCUGAUGUUGCUCUUAUUUGAGAGCUGUGGAGCUGGAGACCUGGAGAGGAGCUGAUGGUGUUCUAGUUUGAUGGUUGCAGAGCUGGAGACCCAGGGAGGAGCUGUUGUUUUUCUAGUUUGAGUUUCGUGCAGCUGAAGACCAUUGGAGGAGCUGAUGUUCUAGUUUGAGGGUUGUGCAGCUGGAGAUACAGGGAGAAGGUGGUCUUGCAGUUUAAAUGUGAGGGUCUUGGAGCUGGAAUCCAUGGGAGGAGCCAAUGCUGCCACUGAUGUCUUAGGUUGUGGAGCUGAAGACCCGCAGAGGAGCCAGUGUUGGUGUUCCAGUGUGAGGUUCGUGGAUCUGGAGACCCACGGAGGAGCAGGUGUUGGUGUUCUAGUGUGAGGGUCAUGGAUCUGGAGAUCCAUGGGGGAGUGGUGUUCUUCUAGUUUGUGGGUUGUGGUGCUGGAGACCCAGGGAGGAGCUGAUUCUUUUGUUGUUUAAGUCUGAAGGUCGUCAAGCUGGAGAUCCGGGGAAGAGCUGGUGCUGCGAUUCAAGUCUGAGGGUCCUGGAGCUUGAGACCCCAGGAGGAGAUGGUGCUGCCACUAAUGUCUUAGAUUGUAAAGCUGGAGAUCUGUGGAGGAGCUGGUGUUUCUGUUCUAGUGUAAGGUUUGUGGAUCUGGAGUCCCAGGGGUGAGCAGUGUUGUUUUAGUUUGAGGGUCAUGGAGUUAGAGACCCGGGGAGGAGCUGAUGUUGUAGUUUGAGGGUCGUGCAGCUGGAGACCCAGGGAGGAGCUGGUGUGUUUCUAGUUGGAGGGUUGUGGAGCUGGAGAUUCAC
rnacentral:lncRNA from 10 species